GACGAACGCUGGCGGCGUGCUUAACACAUGCAAGUCGAGCGGAAAGGCCCCUUCGGGGGUACUAGUGCGGCGAACGGGAGAGUAACACGUGAGUAAUUUGCCCUGGACUCUGGGAUACCUAGCGGAAACGGUGAUAAAUACCGGAUAUGACCAUUUUGGGAUCGGGGGUUGGGGAAAGUUAUUCGGUUCAGGAUGUGCCCGCGGCCUAUCAGGUUGUUGGUGGGGUAAUGGCUCACCAAGGCUUUGACGGGUAGCCGGCCUGAGAGGGUGACCGGUCACACUGGGACUGAGACACGGCCCAGACUCCUACGGGAGGCAGCAGUGGGGAAUAUUGGACAAUGGGCGGAAGCCUGAUCCAGCAACGCCGCGUGAGGGAUGACGGCCUUCGGGUUGUAAACCUCUUUCAGUACCGACGAAGCGAAAGUGACGGUAGGUACAGAAGAAGGACCGGCCAACUACGUGCCAGCCGCCGCGGUAACAC
rnacentral:rRNA from 1 species